GACGAACGCUGGCGGCGUGCUUAACAAAUGAAAUUCAAACGGAAAGGCCCUGCUUUUGUGGGUUGCUCGAGUGGCGAACGGUUGAUUAACACGUGAUUAACUUGCCCUUGACUUUGGGUUAACUUCAGGAAACUGGGGCUAUUACCGGUUAGGAGCUCCUGCUGCAUGGUGGGGGUUGGAAAGUUUCGGCGGUUGGGGAUGGACUCGCGGCUUAUCAGCUUGUUGGUGGGGUAGUGGCUUACCAAGGCUUUGACGGGUAGCCGGCCUGAGAGGGUGACCGGCCACAUUGGGACUGAGAUACGGCCCAGACUCCUACGGGAGGCAGCAGUGGGGAAUAUUGCACAAUGGGCGGAAGCCUGAUGCAGCAACGCCGCGUGCGGGAUGACGGCCUUCGGGUUGUAAACCGCUUUCGCCUGUGACGAAGCGUGAGUGACGGUAAUGGGUAAAGAAGCACCGGCUAACUACGUG
rnacentral:rRNA from 1 species